rnacentral:rRNA from 1 species
CCUACGGGUGGCAGCAGUGAGGAAUAUUGGUCAAUGGGCGCGAGCCUGAACCAGCCAAGUAGCGUGAAGGAUGACUGCCCUACGGGUUGUAAACUUCUUUUAUAAAGGAAUAAAGUGAGGCACGUGUGCGUUUUUGUAUGUACUUUAUGAAUAAGGAUCGGCUAACUCCGUGCCAGCAGCCGCGGUAAUACGGAGGAUCCGAGCGUUAUCCGGAUUUAUUGGGUUUAAAGGGAGCGUAGUUGGGUUGUUCAGUCAGUUGUGAAAGUUUGCGGCGCAACCGUAAAAUUGCAAUUGAUACUGGCAGCCUUUAUUACAGUUGAGGUAGGCGGACUUCGUGUUGUAGCGGUGACAUGCUUCGAUCUCACG